rnacentral:rRNA from 1 species
GACGAACGCUGGCGGCGUGCCUAAUACAUGCAAGUCGAGCGCUGAAGGUUGGUACUUGUACCAACUGGAUGAGCGGCGAACGGGUGAGUAACGCGUGGGGAAUCUGCCUUUGAGCGGGGGACAACUUUUGGAAACGAAUGCUAAUACCGCAUAAUAACUUUAAACACAAGUUUUAAGAUUGAAAGACGCAAUUGCAUCACUCAAAGAUGAUCUCGCGUUGUAUUAGCUUGGUUGUGAGGUAAAGGCUCUACAAGGCGAAGGUACAUAACCCAACCGAGGGGGUGGUCGGCCACAUUGGGACCGGGACCACGCCCAAACCCCCUCGGGAGGGAGCAGUAGGGAAUCUUCGGGAAUAGGGGGAAGUCUGGCCGGAGAACGCCGGGUGAGUGAAGAAGGGUCUCGGGUCGUAAAACUCUGUUGGUAGGGAAGAACGAUGGUUGGAGGGGAAAGUGCACCAAGUGACGGUACCUACCCAGAAAGCGACGGCUAACUACGUG